rnacentral:rRNA from 1 species
UACAGAGGUCUCAAGCGUUGUUCGGAUUCAUUGGGCGUAAAGGGUGCGUAGGUGGCGCCGUAAGUCAGGUGUGAAAUCUCGGGGCUCAACCCCGAAACUGCACUUGAUACUGCGGUGCUCGAGUACUGGAGAGGAGAUUGGAAUUUACGGUGUAGCAGUGAAAUGCGUAGAUAUCGUAAGGAAGACCAGUGGCGAAGGCGGAUCUCUGGACAGUUACUGACACUGAGGCACGAAGGCCAGGGGAGCAAACGGG